CGUCCUCUCUCUCAACUCACCACCCGCGUCGUCCUCUCUCUCACUCGCAGUCGUCCUCUCUCUCACGAACCCUAACUCCAAAUCGAAGCUUCUCUUUCUUUCUCCGGCCUCUACUCUCACGAAUCGAAGCUUGUUUUUCUCUCACCCACAUCUGAAAACGCAGGUACUGAUUCGAAGCUCUCUCUCGUCCCUAAUUGCAGAAUGAAGCUCUCUCUCGUUCCUCUCCCUCCGAUUGAAAACCAAGAGUAUUUGAAAAUGGGUCUGUCAUUCACGAAGCUGUUUAGCCGGCUUUUCGCGAAGAAGGAGAUGGGUAUACUUAUGGUCGGUCUCGAUGCCGCUGGUAAGACCACCAUUCUGUAUGAGCUUAAGCUUGGAGAAAUCGUCACCAUUCCCACCAUUGGGUACUGAUGCUGUCAAAUUGCUGUUUUUGGACUCCGGGUUUUACGUGCUCAAGCUACGCGAACGGAUCAUUAAGAGCAUACUGAACAGCUCGGAAAUGUUGGAAUCGCAGGUGGGUUCCUUUAGAUAAACUCUCACUUAAUAGAGUAGUCUUAUUAGUUUUCCCCAAAAUCCAACUAUGCAUGUUAACUUAAGUUUUAGGGAUUAAUUAGGGAGAACUCAUGAAAUGACUUAAUUAAUGAAUUGAAUAUGCCCUACAUGUUGGAAUGUUGUUGAUUCGUGGAACUUAGCAUAAACUGAAUGAUAUAUAAACUGUUUUGGAAUGGUAAGUGCUGCUGAAUGUUGCAGGUUGUGUGUUUGAGCAGGUUCACAUAGCUAUGAAUCAAUGCAUGUGUUUUCCAGAGCUUAGAAACUGUGUGUUCUGAGUCUAUGAAUCGGUGCAUGCUAUACUUGAACCGGUGCAUAGGCUUCAGGAUGUGUUUUAUAAAAACCUGGAAAACGUGUGAAUCGGUGCAUACCCUGUAUGAGUGACUCAAACAUGGCCUGGACAGAGUUUGAAUCGGCACAUAGAUAGUAUGCACCGGAGCAUGGAACUUCAGAAUCACUAUUUUUGCAACAAACUCAGUUACAUGAACCGGUGCAAAGUCUUAUGAACCGAUGCAACCUGAGACCAUUAUGCUUUUGAUUUAUGGAUGGAGGUUAUGUCAACUAAUUUAAUUUAACUAAAAACCCUCCGUCACGAAUAAUAUUUUAUAAAAACAAUAAGUGUCUAAAUUCCACGAUUACGGAUUUUCUACAUGUUUAAAAUCAGUACACUUAGAAUUUAAUCAGGAUGAUUAGGAUAGUUAGAAAUAUCCUCGGGAAGGGUUGAUGGGCAGGUUAAUGCGAUUUAGAUUCUUAAGACAGUUGAUCAGAUUAUGGUGGUUGAUCCCGAACCACAGAUUAUCUAGCCUUUGGCUAAGAGUCUAGCUUUUGCUAUGAGGGAUUCUUCACUUUUAGUGGGAAUCAAGUUAUUUAAUUUGUGAGCUGAGGUGGUUCUCUGAUCUACAUUUAAUAUCAGGAACUACAGUCAGGCCUUCGAGACCCGCUCACCUCGAAGUGUCCGUGAGUUAUAAAAUUAAUCAAGAUAAUAAAUUUUGUGAUACACCUUUAUUUAUGUUUAAGCUAUUCAAUUAUGAAUAUGAGUUAUUUUAGUGAUCAACUGAUUUAUGUAUGAGCCCCCGGUGUAGUCACCACCGUAGUUGGGGUAGCAGGAGCUCACUGAGGCUUAGUAGUCUC